rnacentral:rRNA from 1 species
UACAGAGGGUGCAAGCGUUAAUCGGAAUUAUUGGGCGUAAAGGGCGCGUAGGUGGGGGAAUAAGUCGGUGGUGGAAUCCCUGGGCUUAACCUAGGAAUUGCCACUGAUACUGUUUGUCUAGAGUGAAGUAGAGGGUAGCGGAAUUUCCGGUGUAGCGGUGAAAUGCGUAGAUAUCGGAAAGAACACCGGUGGCGAAGGCGGCUACCUGGACUUUGACUGACACUGAGGCGCGAAAGCGUGGGGAGCGAACAGG